rnacentral:pre_miRNA from 1 species
GUUUACAUCGAGCGAUGGUUGGAAUCCAACUGUUGAUACACAUUGGAUUUUAAGUUCCAUCGCUAGUUGUGGAC